GUGCCGUACCCGCGGUAAUACGGAGGAUGCAAGCGUUAUCCGGAAUGAUUGGGCGUAAAGCGUCCGCAGGUGGCGAUGUAAGUCUGCUGUUAAAGAGUGAGGCUCAACCUCAUAAGAGCAGUGGAAACUACAUAGCUAGAGUACGUUCGGGGCAGAGGGAAUUCCUGGUGUAGCGGUGAAAUGCGUAGAGAUCAGGAAGAACACCAGUGGCGAAGGCGCUCUGCUAGGCCGUAAUUGACACUGAGGGACGAAAGCUAGGGGAGCGAAUGGGAUUAGAUACCCCAGUAGUCCUAGCCGUAAACGAUGGAUACUAGGCGUGGCUUGUAUCGACCCGAGCCGUGCCGUAGCUAACGCGUUAAGUAUCCCGCCUGGGGAGUACGCCGGCAACGGUGAAACUCAAAGGAAUUGACGGGGGCCCGCACAAGCGGUGGAGUAUGUGGUUUAAUUCGAUGCAACGCGAAGAACCUUACCAAGGCUUGACAUGUCGCGAAUCUUCUUGAAAGGGAAGAGUGCCUUCGGGAGCGCGAACACAGGUGGUGCAUGGCUGUCGUCAGCUCGUGUCGUGAGAUGUUGGGUUAAGUCCCGCAACGAGCGCAACCCUCGUUUUUAGUUGCCAGCAUUAAGUUGGGCACUCUAGAGAGACUGCCGGUGACAAACCGGAGGAAGGUGGGGAUGACGUCAAGUCAGCAUGCCCCUUACGCCCCGGGCUACACACGUACUACAAUGCUAUGGACAAAGGGCAGCCAACUGGCGACAGUGCGCUAAUCCCAUAAACCAUGGCUCAGUUCAGAUUGCAGGCUGCAACUCGCCUGCAUGAAGGCGGAAUCGCUAGUAAUCGCAGGUCAGCAUACUGCGGUGAAUCCGUUCCCGGGCCUUGUACACACCGCCCGUCACACCAUGGGAGUUGGACACGCCUGAAGUCGUUACUCUAACCCUUGUGGAAGAGGACGCCUAAGGCAGGACUGGUGACUGGGGUGAAGUCGUAACAAGGUAACC
rnacentral:rRNA from 1 species